rnacentral:rRNA from 1 species
UACAGAGGGGGCAAGCGUUGUUCGGAAUUACUGGGCGUAAAGGGCGCGUAGGCGGCCUGUUAAGUCGAACGUGAAAUCCCCGGGCUCAACCCGGGAACUGCGUCCGAUACUGGCAGGCUUGAAUUCGGGAGAGGGAUGUGGAAUUCCCGGUGUAGUGGUGAUAUGCGUAGAUAUCGGGAGGAACACCUGUGGCGAAGGCGGCUUUCUGGGCCUUACCUGACGCUGAGACGCGAAAGCGUGGGGAGCGAACCGG